rnacentral:rRNA from 1 species
CCUACGGGAGUCAGCAGUGAGGAAUAUUGGUCAAUGGCCGGAAGGCUGAACCAGCCAUGCCGCGUGAAGGUCAGUGCCCUAUGGGCGUUAAACUUCUUUUGUGCGGGAGCAAUAAUGGUCAAGUGUGGCCAGACGAGAGUACCGUACGAAUAAGCAUCGGCUAACUCCGUUCCAGCAGCCGCGGUAAUACGGGGGAUGCAAGCGUUAUCCGGAUUUAUUGGGGUUAAAGGGUGCGUAGGCGGGGAGGUAAGUCAGCGGUGAAAUGCCCCCGCUCAACGGGGUGAAGUGCCAUUGAUACUGCCUAGCUGGAAUGCGGAAGCCGUGGGAGGAAUGUGUGGUGUAGCGGUGAAAUGCAUAGAUAUCACACAGAACACCGAUUGCGAAGGCAGCUCACGAAUCCUCGAUUGACGCUGAUGCACGAAAGCGUGGGUAUCAAACAGGAUUAGAUACCCUGGUAGUC